ACUAACCCCAUUUUCAUAAUAAUCUGCAAGUUCCUGACUGUGGAUUGUGUUUCAAGAGUAAUUGCAAGGGUGUUUCAAAUGACCACCCCAGUCACGAUGGAGAAGGGCACAGCCCAGUCUGCAAGAAACCUUGGUGCUCUCAAAGUUUGCAAAAUGUGAUCCUCAGAAGUGUCACCCAAGAACACAGGCAAGUGGAACGGAGCUGUCCAUCGGCGUGCAUCAGUGCAGUGAAGACCCAGAUGGGAAGAGUCUGCGACUGCUGCUGACCCAGUGCUUUGCAAGGACUUCUCUGUGGUCUCAGAAUCAUGGUUGGAUUGGCACUUCUCACUGCCAUGAACUUCCCUCAAGCCCAUGUAGACUGACCUUGGAAGCGUCCAUCUGGGAACCCCAGAAACAUCAUGCACUCCAAACAACUGUCCAAAAACCACACAGUGGAUAACUGUUUGGAAAAGUGAGCUCAUAUGAAGAGUAGACAACGUUUAUUUGAAGAGUUUGAAGGUUUGUUUCACGGACAAAAUCAGCCACAUAAAAGAAGACAUUCUCCUUGUUGUGCAUCUGUCUGCAAAGCCACUCUAUGGCCAUGAGGCCAUAAUGGAAGUGAUCUAGAGGAGAAAGAGAAGCUGAAACACACAGCUGGAGUUCUUGGUGACAACACUGAGCCCUAGAGUAACUGACCUUCUAAUGUUCCAGUCCUGGGCUACUCAUUGUAUGGAAAUUGAGGUGGUUCUCCAACUUCUCAUGGCCGGAAGCCACUUGACUCAGGACCUCAGAAACAGCACAGCCAUUCCUGUAUUAGACACAAGCACAGUCUGAAGACAGUGUGAUGGCAACAGCAUGUGAUGCUAUAUAGUGAUAUGAUUGUGGGGAGCAACUCGGACUAGACUGUUACUGGAAUUAAGACUUAUUCUAUGCAUCUGCUCUCCCACAAUAUGGCACUGAGAAGGGAGAAACAGCUUCUACACAGCUGCCUCCAGUUCGACCAGUAACCUGCAGGAGCUGAUCCUGAUUGGAGGAGAGCAGCGUACCCGGCGUGUGGGUAGCAGAGUUGGGAUUGGUGGAAGAGGACUAUAAAGGAGGAGAGAGACAACAUGCACCAGGAACAUCUAUCUGAAGGAACACCUGAGCAGCUCCCGAGAGAGCCGGCCAGCGGUGUGCUGCUCCCCCGCAGAAGUGGGGAAAGUGGCAGGGGGAACCGCCCUUCCACGGAGGUGGAAGGGACGGUAGCCAACCUGGGAAGAACCAGCAGCAAACCCGGGGAGGGCCGAGCAGACAAAAGAACAGCGCAGGGUCCUCUGUCGUCCGUUCCUCCGCGAAGAGGGGGAGCGACAUAUGAUCAUCUCUUAUCAAUUCUAUGUAAAGUGACAGCAUGUCAGGCAACAGCUUGACAGCAACUAUGGUGAGAAUAUUUCAACAUGGACAUUGACAAAUACUACAAGCCAGAACUUUUUUUUCUUCCAGCAUAGCCAGUUGUUAAACAUUUACAACAGAACGUUCAAUGGUUCCUUUUGAAUAUGCUCCACUAACAAUAACAGAAGUUGCCAAAGUAGCUAAAGAUAGCUAAACAGAAUUUUAUUCAAGUUAUUCACACGGAAGAUAUUCCAGUUGAACUGCUUGCAGUUGCUUAGAUGACACCAUGUUCUCCCAUUCCUUCAUAUCUUUUCCAUUGAUCUAAAUUCUACAUUAAUAAGUAGUUACACGCAGGUUCCUCUUCUGGACAAACGUUAUAUUCUGUGCUUGUUUCAAGACAUUGAGGCUGUUUCUCUUUCCCCACAAGAUAGUUCCUUGAGGCUGGGACUUUGUCUCUCAAAUUUAGUGUUCCUGAGCACUGCUCCUGGUAGAAAAUCAAUGCAUUUUUGUGUUGAAAGAAUGAAAUAACUUAAUGAUUUACAUCAUUAUCUUACCUUCAGCAAUAGUUCUCAAAUAUUUGGCUUCAGAAGCUCUUUACAUUGUUAAAAAUUAUUGCAUAUCCUUAAGAGCUUUUGCUUAUGCAGGCUAUAUCUAUUGAUAUCUACUGAAUUCAAAAUUAAAACUGAAGGAACAGGCAUUUGGCUUAGUGGUUGUGUCCCAUAUCAGAGUGCCUGGGUUCUGUUCCUAGCUCUGGCUCUUGAUUCCAGCUUCCUGUAUACAUACAUAUACCCUGUAUAAAUACAGACCUGGGAGAUAGUAGGUAAUGGUCUGAGUGACUGGGUUCCUGCAACCCAACUAGGAGAUCUGGUCUGUGAUCCUGGCUCCUGGCUCUAGUCCUGGCCAUUGUAGGCAUUUGGGGAAUGAACCAGAAGAUGGGAGCUCUUAGGGUCUUGUGGCUAAGAGAUUUUGUGCUCCUGCUAGCAUUAUGAAAAAGUAAAGUAAAAUAUUAUGGAAAAGUAACAUCUGUGUGUCUAUCUGUCUCUCUCUGCCUCUCAAAUAAAAAUAAUUUUAAUAAAAAAAAACACUAAGAUGGAGAAAAUUUUAAAACACAAGAAUACAUAAGCACAUGUUCAACUUGCCAAGAGGGCAAUGAUGCAUCUCACAUCAUGUGUCCUCUAGAAAACUCCAGUGAACACUCAUGAGAGAAUGAGAAUGAAAAGCAAAAUAAUGUUUCAGUAUUGUUAUGAAAAUAGCCGUAAUCCU